UACGGGGGGGGCAAGCGUUGCUCGGAAUUACUGGGCGUAAAGGGCUCGUAGGCGGCCAACUAAGUCAGACGUGAAAUCCCUCAGCUUAACUGGGGAACUGCGUCUGAUACUGGAUGGCUUGGAUUCGGGAGAGGGAUGCGGAAUUCCUGGUGUAGCGGUGAAAUGCGCAGAGAUCGGCAGGAACACCCAGGGGGAAACCAGUCGACUGGGCAUCUACUGACGCUGAGGUGCGAGAGCGUGGGGAGCGAACCGG
rnacentral:rRNA from 1 species